UUUAUGGGUCAUUCCUAAACCUGUACCUUUAAAAGAGCUACCAAAAUGUGUAGCAAUUAGUGUAUUGCAUCUAGCAGCAAGCACUCAAUAACCAGCAAAACCGUGAUCAUUUGGUGAUUCUGCAAAACUGGGAAGGUUUUUUGACUGAUUUGAGUUAAAAUUAGCCAUAUAUUUAUAGUCUAUCACAGCUAUCCCAUCACAUUGCUGCUCUUCUGCCAGUCUCUUUCUACACCAGGUUUGGCCUCUUGCCUGGGCGACACCAGUAAACCUUCUUUGCAUACUUAGAAGCAGCAAAACGCGUCUGGAAAACACAUCAACAUUCUUAUCCAUCAUUCAGCUUCUGAACUCCAAUGUCAAGGCAUGCACACACACACAGACACACACACACACACACAGUAAUCCAGACAGAAAGUUUCCUAGGCAACACCAAAGCAAGUGUUUCAUCAGUGUUUAUUUACUCUGUAAGUGUGUUUGCAUGUAUUUGUGGACACAUGCAGAGAGCAAAGUGCGCUUAGAGACUCACUUAGUGUCAAUGAAGCUCAGUUUGACCGGCGAGUGUUCCACAAGCUCUGUGUUUAUGUGUCAAUCAACCAAAACACAAACAGACUGUACUGACAAAAUCAGUCACAAAAUCUGUCACGAGGGAACACGCACAAACACUGCCAAAAAGAACAGGCUAGACCAGCCUACAAUGGUUAGAUUGUCUGAUUGGAUUCAUAGGGGGUGUUGGGCACAAGCUGGAGUUUAGUUCGUAGCCAGCUGGUCUCCAAGCCUGACUGGCUGGCUGCCAGGUAAAUACCAGUCUGACCAGGCUGCUAAACCACCUAAGACUAGGUGUUUUUUUUUCCUCAGCACACAUUACCUUAAACCUCAGUGGUCAGGGAACUUCCCUAAAGGCGCAUCACUUUGUAAGGUGUUUUUUUUUUUUUUGGCUAUUUUCAGCAAUGUAGCAAUUAAGAAGCACACUUCAAAACAAGAAGUUUUCUGUUGGUGAACACAAAAUUGUUGUAAAGACUAGACUCUCCCCCUCUAAAAUUCAAUGUUACAUGAACAAUGUUAAAUGUGACUGCAACUUUUAAGUAGUAAAUCAAAAUCUACAGUCACCAAUCUAUAAGUUUGAGUCUGUUGUUUGGUUUUUAUUUCAUUGAAAUAAACUAGACUGUGUGCUAAUAAGCUGGCUAGACUGUUGGAAAUUGAAUGUACAUUGUUAUUUGAAGUUAACAUGAAUAAUAAAUGAAUGUGAACACAAUAAGUUAUAAGUUACAAUAAGCUAAUAAGUUAGGUCAAAAGGUGGCGACAAGUGAUAUCUUUAUGAGUGAAUCAUUUAUUCAUUUAUCCUGUCAUUUGAUUCGUUCAAACAGACUGAAUCGUUCAGGAACCAAACAAGUGGCCUCAAUAAGCGAGUGAGUCAUUGAAUCAGUCAUGCAACAGAUUCAUUUCACAUUGAUUCUUUCAAGAAGGUGGCUACUGCGAUUAGAGACCAGUGGCUUGAUUUGUUUGUUGGCGGAGCACAAGUAUACAAACUAACUGACAAUGUUGUGUCUAAAAUGUGAGUUACUCAAUAUUGUGUGAAUAAUAUUGUGUUAACACACACUGGUGUGAAAAUGAGUCUGUGAUUACCUGGGACCAAAUCGUAGUCCUGCUGAUUUUUAACAGCAUUCUUUUUUUGAUAUUACUUUUUAUGAAAUUAUGGCUGCUUUUUGUCAAUUAUAAUUGUAUUAAUGUAUUAUUUUCGGUCAAACAACUUGCUAAUCACUUUUUUGUAAAUACUGCAUUACAAGAAUGGUUGGCGUUAGCAUAACUUUAAAUCAUGGGGUAAACAAUCGCUCAUAAACAAUCAGAGCAUGGCGAAUGAACAGAAACGUUGUCCUUGUCACACAGGUUUUCAUAUUUACUUUUGUGUUUGUUUUGCCUUUCGUCGCACCUGUGAACUCUCAGUUGAAAUAGUACAUUUAAGUCAGGAAUACUAAUGCGAAUGCUAAUUCACUCCUGUUGUCUGUUCAUUUGGUUUCCUGCAGACAAAAGGGCAUUUUGCCAUUCAACAAGAUCUGCCAGCCACACACACACACACACACGUUUGAUUUUGUAUCAUAAUAGGGUCUUGACUUCUACCGUUAUAUACUAAGUUAAUUAUAUUUUGCUUCCCCUAAACCUGAUGCAAAUCAAUCAGCAUUUUUAUGUUGUCAUUAACAAUUGUUUAAUGUGUUUACGAAGUGAUUUUUCUUACAAGGUCCAUUGUGUUUAUUUUUAGGUUCAACUAUGCUCAUAGGGACAUUUGGUUCCCAUAAUACUGCCAAAACCUAAUGGAUACACUCAUAAACACACUCUAGAGACACACUUGAUCAUCUUUGGCUUGUGAAUCAUUUUAGGACUGUGUGCAUUUACAUGCUUCGUUUUAGUUCAUCAUUUUUGUUUUGCUCAGCAAAUGGGCAAUUUCACAUUCCAGAGUCAAAACAGUGUUAGGACUUUGAAGGGAAGAAUGUGUCUUUGAAUAUUCAGAGAGCACAUGAUGACUAACUGUCAGACACACACACACCCACACACACACACAUGGACUAAUCCUCUUACUCUCAGCCUGAGCUGAAGGGCUUGGCUGGUCAUGACUGUUUCUGGCAGCCUCUGCUACCUGCUGCUGUCAGAAGCUCAUCAUGCCACAUGUUUCUCAGUGUGUGUGUGUGUGUGUGUGUCCGAGGCAUAAGGCGGUAAGUGAACAUGAUUGUGUCCAAUGUUCAAUAACACGGAACAUGUAAAAUUAAUCAAACACGACUAAUUCUGACACAUCCGACAUUCUGGGUUUGGAUGCACGACCUCAGUUUGUGUGUGUGUUCAAAAGUAUUUCUCUGUUUGUUCAAAUAGACUGACUUCUUCAUAGACCUUCCAGAAACCACGGCAACAGCAUCCCCUCAUGCUAGACUGUGUUGUGAUGUCACAAAGGGCUGUACACAGUUGCCUUGGCAAUGACUGCACACUUCUGAUAUGAAGCCCUAGUGGUUUUUUCGUGCAUCUAACUGGCUCCAAGAGAAUUAGCAUACAGAAAUAACUACUGUUUGUUGUAUCCAGAACAUUGUAAUGCUGCACAAAGCCGGAUUUCUUGAGCUGCUUCUCUUUGAGGUUGGAUUAUGGUUUUAUUCCAAAUUGGAAUAGACAUAUAAGUCACAAUAUUCUCCUGGCCUCUACAAUAUAAAUUAGAGUGAAAUACAUUGAGACAAAUCACAAUUAAUUUUACACACUUUAAAGCCCAGUUAGAGCAAUUUUUUUUUUUAAAUCAAUUCUGUAGAAUCAGACUUACAAUGGAAAUCUAUGGGAAAAGGCAUAGAAGAUUUAAAAGCAAUGCCAAUUCAUAUAUUUGGUAAAACAUAUAUCUAUAAUUCAUAAUAAUAUCAUUUUAAUUAUUAUGUAAUUCUAAUUCUUUCUUUCUUUCUUAUAGUUUAUAUAUGUAAAAAAAAUUAUUGCUUUGGCGCAAUUUUAACAAGAAAUUGGUACAUUUUCAUACUCUUAGUACUAAUAUCACAACAGAUCAUCAAAGUGCACUGUUUCAGCAUUUUCAAUUGUGUUAGUAUACACACAAUCACAAAAAUUCACUACACAAAAUAAGUGUUUCAUCUAUGUUUCAUUCACAGUUACUGCCUUUCAUAAAGCUAUCACUAUCAAACUUUUCAUUAGCAGGACAGCUCUUACAGUUGAAUACAUUCAUCUAAUAUUUAAUCGAAAUUGAGCAUCGCGUUAGUUCAGUCAGGCCACGUUAGUCACGCUUGCAUCAGCUGACAGUCAGCUGUUCCUGACGUGUACCAAUCCCGUCUUGACACCUAUCACCUGCGGUCUAUUUAAAUUCCCAUUCUUCAGUGUCUCUUCCAUCGCAUCGCUGCUUGCAAUUUACUCCCUCCUCCAACCCCAACUCCACCAACUGAACCUGUAAUCUGAUCUAACUUGUUCUUUCUUUACAGUCUCUUCAAUGGAAGCAGUCUCUAUGACAUUUUGUUUACAACUCAUGUAAUUGUGAAUUGUAAUUAUUUAUGCUUAUAAUGGUUCUGUUCUGUACCCCAGGGGGGUUUGUCUUGCUGCUCUCCCCGCUCUGUCCAAGCAUGGCUGCAUGGACAGGCGUGAGGCGUGUGGAGUGUUGCCCAGAACAUAAACAUACCGCCAACACUAACUGUAUGCAAUUAUAAUUGUCAUUAAAUAUACUUGACGGAAGUGGUCCUGAUUGAACUCAUAUUAAUGGUUAAUCAGUGAAUUAUUUGGUGCAUCUAUAGAUAUAGAUUCCAUAGAUAUUUCGUUUCUAUAGAACAUGGGGUCUAUUUUAUGGGGUCAAAAUGUCCACACAAAGAUGCUAAUAUCUGAAAUUAUUGUGCUGUUUGGGGUCUAUUUAGAAUUUUUUUUUUUUUUGUAAAAGUAGGUUUAGGAGUAGGGUUAGUGUAGGGGGAGACAGUAUAAAACCCAUUACUCCUAUGGAAUGUCACCCAUAGACCAUAUAAAAACAUGUCACCAUAAUGUGUGAAGUGUAGUUUUUUUUUGUUGCAUUAUUAUUACUACAUUCAAACCUGAACACAGAAAGCACUUUGCAACAGAAAACAUUAACAUUCUAUAAAAAUGUAACAUAAAUUAACAGGAAUUCUUUAUCAGAGUUGAAUCCUUCUGGGUCUGAUCUUACCCUCAUACCAGUUCAUAGGUGUGUAUGGGCACCCUAUUAUAGCACUUAAACUCAGAAAAACUUUCUUCUUUCAGACAAAUUUAAUGAGUGAUCAGUCCAAAAGAAGUUAAAUAAAACACCUCCUGUAGCUAAUCAAUGCAUUUUUCUGAGAAAAAUAUCCAUAUUCAAAACGUAAUAAUCACUUACAUUUUUGCCAACAGUUGUGCACAGAAGCUGGGGGAAUGACGUAUGAGGUCAGCGCUGCGCAUCCACUGGUGAGUCUCGGGGAAAAACAACAUUUGUUAACAGGAGCAAAGUUUAAUGUGGCUUAUAUUGAAAUCUUCUGACUUCAUCUUUACAAGUUCACUAGUAUUUUCACUGUGUAUUCAACUGUGUAUUGUAACCUUUAUACAGUGUAAUGUUUUAACCCAAUUAACUGUCGUUGUAACUGGAUUGUUCAAAAUGAGUAAACCUUAGUGUAAAGAGCUUAA